AUUGAACGCUGGCGGAAUGCUUUACACAUGCAAGUCGAACGGUAGAGGGGGGCAACCCCUUGAGAGUGGCGAACGGGUGAGUAAUAUAUCGGAACGUGCCCAGUCGUGGGGAUAACGUAGCGAAAGUUACGCUAAUACCGCAUACGAUCUAAGGAUGAAAGCGGGGGAUCGCAAGACCUCGCGCGAUUGGAGCGGCCGAUAUCAGAUUAGGUAGUUGGUGAGGUAAAGGCUCACCAAGCCAACGAUCUGUAGCUGGUCUGAGAGGACGACCAGCCACACUGGAACUGAGACACGGUCCAGACUCCUACGGGAGGCAGCAGUGGGGAAUUUUUGGGACAAUGGACGCAAGUCUGAUCCAGCCAUUCCGCGUGCAGGAUGAAGGCCCUCGGGUUGUAAACUGCUUUUGUACGGAACGAAAAGGUUUCUAUUAAUACUAGGAGCUCAUGACGGUACCGUAAGAAUAAGCACCGGCUAACUACUGCCAGCAGCCGCGGUAAAGUGACUAC
rnacentral:rRNA from 1 species